rnacentral:rRNA from 1 species
AUUGAACGCUGGCGGCAUGCCUUACACAUGCAAGUCGAGGGGCAGCAUAGAGUAGCAAUACUUUGAUGGCGACCGGCGCACGGGUGAGUAACGCGUAUGUAACCUACCCUGUACAGGGGGAUAGCCCGGAGAAAUUCGGAUUAAUACCCCAUAAUGAUAUCGAGAGGCAUCUUUUGAUAUUUAAAGCUUCGGCGGUACGGGAUGGGCAUGCGUGACAUUAGCUAGUUGGUAAGGUAACGGCUUACCAAGGCUGCGAUGUCUAGGGGUCCUGAGAGGGUGAUCCCCCACACUGGUACUGAGACACGGACCAGACUCCUACGGGAGGCAGCAGUGAGGAAUAUUGGUCAAUGGGCGUAAGCCUGAACCAGCCAUCCCGCGUGAAGGAAGAAGGCGCUAUGCGUCGUAAACUUCUUUUCCAGAGGAAUAAAAUUUUGUACGCGUACAGAACUGAAGGUACUCUGGGAAUAAGCAUCGGCUAACUCCGUGCCAGCCGCCGCCGUAAAAC